UACGUAGGGGGCGAGCGUUGUCCGGAUUUAUUGGGCGUAAAGAGCGUGUAGGCGGCCAGGUAGGUGGGUUGUGAAAACUGGAGGCUCAACCUUCAGACGUCGACCCAAACCCCCUGGCUAGAGUCCGGAAGAGGAGAGUGGAAUUCCUGGUGUAGCGGUGAAAUGCGUAGAUAUCAGGAGGAACACCGGUGGUGUAGACGGCUCUCUGGACCGUAACUGACGCUGAGACACGAAAGCGUGGGUAGCAAACAGG
rnacentral:rRNA from 1 species